CUUGGUCAUUUGGAGGAAGUAAAAGUCGUAACAAGGUUUCCGUAGGUGAACCUGCGGAAGGAUCAUUAAAGAAAUAAACUUGAUGGGUUGUAGCUGGCUCUAACUUGAGUAUGUGCACGCCUGUCAUUUUUAUCUUUCCACCAUGUGCACUUUGCAUAGGUCUGAAAAUCAAGUGUUUUUUUUCACUUGAUGUCUUGGGAACUGCUGUGCUUCACAGCCAGCUUUUCCUGUCUUCAGGCUCUAUGAUUUUUAUAUAUACACCAUGUAUGUUAAAGAACGCAUUUACAGGCUUGCAAAAGCCUAUAAACUUUAUACAACUUUCAGCAACGGAUCUCUUGGCUCUCGCAUCGAUGAAGAACGCAGCGAAAUGCGAUAAGUAAUGUGAAUUGCAGAAUUCAGUGAAUCAUCGAAUCUUUGAACGCACCUUGCGCUCCUUGGUAUUCCGAGGAGCAUGCCUGUCUGAGUGUCAUUAAAUUCUCAAUCUCUACAACUUUUGUUGUUAGCAGGUUGGAUGUGGGGGCUUUUAUUGUGGGCGUUACAACCCACUCCCCUGAAAUGAAUUAGCUGGAAUGCCUCGGCAAAUCCAACUAUCAGUGUGAUAAAUAUCUACUGUGGUUGUUGCUUUUUGAGGGUAUCUGCUUCUCAACUGUCUGCAAAGACAACUUGAAUCAUUUUGACCUCAAAUCAGGUAGGACUACCCGCUGAACUUAAGCAUAUCAAUAAGCGGAGGAAAAGAAACUAACAAGGAUUCCCCUAGUAACUGCGAGUGAAGCGGGAAAAGCUCAAAUUUAAAAUCUGGCAGUCUUUGAUUGUCCGAGUUGUAAUCUAGAGAAGUGUUAUCCGCGUUGGACCGUGUACAAGUCUCCUGGAAUGGAGCAUCAUAGAGGGUGAGGAUCCCGUCUUUGACAUGGACUACCAGUGCUUUGUGAUGCGCUCUCAAAGAGUCGAGUUGUUUGGGAAU
rnacentral:sRNA from 1 species